CCUACGGGUGGCAGCAGUAGGGAAUAUUGGUCAAUGGGGGAAACCCUGAAGCAGCAACGCCGCGUGGAGGAUGAAGGUUCUCGGUUUGGUAAACCCUUUUUGUAGCGAAGAUAAUGAUGGGAUCCAACGCAUGAGCACCGUCUAAGUCGGAGCAAGCAGCCGCGGUAAUACGGCGGGUGCCAGCGUUACUCGGAAUCACUGGGCGUAAAGCGCGCGUAGGCGGGUUAGCAAGUCAGAUGUGAAAUCCUAGGGCUUAACCACAGAACUGCAUUUGAAACUGGUAGUCUAGAGUAUGGGAGAGGUAGGUGGAAUGCUUGGUGUAGGGGUAAAAUCCGUAGAGAUCAAGAGGAAUACUCAUUGCGAAGGCGACCUGCUAGAACAUAACUGACGCUGAUGCGCGAAAGCGUGGGGAGCAAACAGGAUUAGAUACCCGGGUAGUC
rnacentral:rRNA from 1 species